rnacentral:lncRNA from 1 species
AUUCUUUUUCUGUGUUACAGCUACAAUUGUCUCAGUUGUCUUCCUACCAUGUUAUUUUACAUGGUAUUUUGUAGGUUCUGAUGAGAAAGUUGGUUGGUUUUGUUUUGUUUUGUUUUGUUUUGUUUUGUUUUUUCUGAGAUGGAGUCUCAUUCUGUCACCCAGGCUGGAGUGCAGUGGUGUGAUCUUGGCUCACUCCAACCUUUGCCUCCUGGGUUCAAGUGAUUCUUCUGCCUCAGUCUCCCAAGUAGCUGGGACUACAGGCAUGCGCCACCAUGCCCAGCUAACUUUUGUAUUUUUAGUAGAGAUGGGGUUUCACUAUAUUGGCCAGACUGGUCUCGAACUCCUGACCGCAUGAUCCCCACCUCCUCAGCCUCCCAAAAUGCUGGGAUUACAGGCAUGAGCCAUCACCCCUGGCCAAAAGUUGCUAUUUUUAAUGUGCUAAAAAAUGGAUUUUAAGUGGAGAAUUUGCUUGCCAAUAUAACUUUCAGAUUAGUUAAUUAAAAUAAGAGACAUACACUGUCCACACGUGGAAUAAUUAAAUCAGUUAACAUUGUUUUUCUUUGUUUGUAAAAGAAGAAUCUUAUUGGAUUCUUACACAAAGUGUGGCAAGCAUAAAAUUUGUUACAAAAUAUAUCUUAUAAGUUAUAUUUAAAAGAGAGUUAGUGGUAAGUAAGGAUUCUAAAUUUAAUUUUCUAUGAUACAGCACGUUACAUUUUUAUACAGACUC